AGAAACCGAAGUUUUGAUUAUGCACAAUGGAACGCAGUUACUAUCAGUAAAAAGUGUUGAAGCCAAAAUUGCAAAAUAAAGAUUUCAAGAAAAGAAUUCUGGAAGACAAAUUGACUGACGGUAGAGGAAUUGGAAAAAGAGAGAGAAAAAGAAGAACAAACGUGAUAAACAAUAAGAGGAAAAAUAGCAGAACAUGCACAACCAAUUCUUGAAAAGAAAGAAAACCCCCCAGAAAGAAAAAUAAAUAAAAUAUAGAUAAUACUAAUAAAAUAAAUUAAAAGAA
rnacentral:lncRNA from 1 species